UUUUUAACGUGAGGGCCUUGAUCUAUCUGGUAUUCUUCAUUAGCCCAGCACCUACAGUAUGUUUUAACAGUGAGGGCCUUGAUCUAUACUGGUAUUCUUCAUUAGCCAGCACCUACAGUAUGUUUUUUAACAGUGAGGGCCUUGUCUAUAUGGUAUUCUUCAUUAGCCCAGCACCUACAGUUGUUUUAACAGUGAGGGCCUUGUUCUAUACUGGUUUCUUUUCAUUAGCCCAGCCACCUACAGUAUGUUUUUAACAGUGUGAGGGCCUUGUUCUAUACUGGUAUUCUUCAUUAGCCCAGCACCUACCGUAUGUUUUUUACAGUGAGGGCCUUCUUGUUCUAUACUGGUAUUCUUCAUUAGCCCAGCACCUAUUAUUUUUUUAAGGAUGUGCGUCUGACCACACAACUUUUUUUAUAGAAUACAAUGUUUCAGGCCUUGCUCAUUUCCUGUCUUUUAGAAUAGAACCAUUCAGGCUACUGUUCUGGUUUCUGGUUCUAUUUCUAGGAUCCUUCCCUGUAUGACUGUUUUUGGUGGUACGGUUACGACCCAGAGAAUAAGGCUAUUUUAUUAGUGGUUACGACCCAGAGAAUAAGCCUUAUUUUAUUAAUAUGUAUUAUUAGGUGGUAAGGUUACGACCCAGAGAAAAUGGACUACCUGACUUUAAAUCGUGGCUCCAGUGUUACUGUGUGGAGGGGAUGAAGUCUGUAAGAGAUCACAACGGCAACUAUGUGGUUCAAGGUGAGCACACACCCACACCACACACACACACACACACACACACACACCCACACACACACCACACACACACACCCCUUUUAGACAUGUAUAUGUGAUUGUUUUGUCUGGUUUCAGGAGGAUCCAGGUCCCAUGGCUCCUAAAGAUGCCAAAACAAAGAUGAUAGUGAAGAAAGAGGAUGACCAUGAUUAUAAAGGGGGAAAAAAGGUAAAGAAGGCCCGCUCUGAGAGCACGAUGAAGCCAAAAUACAUCAAGGAAAAGGAAGUCCCUCAGAGACGGGCAGGAAGGAGGAAGUAAACAUGACCUCAGCAGAAGAGCACCAGUACAGACCCCACAGAUGUGGAGUGGGACCAGAAACCGUGCCAGACAGUAGAAGAAUAUUGUCCAUUUUCACGCAGGAAACAAAUAAUAUUUUUUGCUUUCAAUCCAGAAGCUGCUAGGUAGAACAAGCAAGUAGCUGUAGGGACAGAGCUAUUACUGAACGGGGCCAUUUAAAAUAAAACUGUCUAUGGUAUGUGUUCUAUGCAAGAGAAAUCCCCUUUUUGUACCAUGUAAUAAACAACGUUAUCAUUUUGGUCUGCUUGCUUUGAGUGCUGUGUGACGCAAAGGAAUAUUGAGAGCUGUUUUAAAAUAUAUAAAUCCUUCAUUUAUUGACUUAUUUCAACAACAUCCACAAAACUCAAUUUGAAAUAUGAAUGGAAAAAAAUGCAUGGGGUCCCAUUUUAAAUGACAUGCAGCUUAAAGCCUUCAUAAACACUACAUUAAAUGUUUUAUCAGCUGUCGUGCUUUAUAAAGGGUUCUUACACGUGGCAUAACUAACACCUGUGCUCCAUUAAGGAUUUAUAGCCUUUCAUGCAUUUGGUACAGCAUUGCAACGGCAGGAUAUUGGGUUUAAUUCCCGGGACCACCCAUGCGUAAACAUUUAUUCAUGCAUGACUAAGUCGUUUUGGAUAAAAAGCUUCUGCUAAAACAUUUCUAAAAAGGCCCAACCUCUUUCCCUCUGGUGUACAGUCAACAUUGGACCUGACCUCAACUUCCACCAAAAUGCUGCAGGUUGACACUAAAGUGCAGUUAUGCAGAAUAUGUUGGCCUUUUAUUCUGCUCACUUCUGUUUUUUCCACAAAUUCCAUUUUCUUUGGAUAUGUAUUCCAUAUACAGUGAUUUGCAUUGGGGGCAUUGAUAUGACCUAGGAAAUAACAUUUAAAACCCUCAAAGAUUGGACACUUUUUUUUUCUUCCAUUUCCUCCUGAAAUAACAACCCAAAUCUAACUGCCUGUAGCUCAGGACCUGAAAUAACAACCCAAAUCUAACUGCCUGUAGCUCAGGACCCAAAUCUAACUGCCUGUAGCUGAGGACCUACAAUGACAUACCCAAAUCUAACUAGAGAGAAUAAAGUAGACGGCUAUAGUAAACGAUUUUUUAAAUAUUUUUUUUUUAGGUAUGAUGGACAACUGGCGACUUGGAUGCAUUAGGGACUCUGAACGACAUCGGAGGAUGAAACAG
ensembl:lncRNA